rnacentral:tRNA from 2 species
GGGGCUGUGGGGUAGCUUGGUAUCCUUUCGGCUUUGGGAGUCGACGACCUCGGUUCAAAUCCGAGCAGCCCCA